rnacentral:lncRNA from 1 species
ACCCCGCCACCCCGCCUGCCGCGGCCGGUUACCUUCCUCGUAGCCCCACUCCACCCCCUCCUCCUCCUCCUCUUCAUCCUCCUCCUUCUCCGGGAAGGCGACGGAAUCCUCGAUGAAGCUCAGGCUGGGUUGCUUUGUAAGAGCUAGGACGUGAUGCUGAAGAUCUCCCAGGAGCUGAAGGAAGAGCAUGGUCUUACUCUUAUGCCUGUGUGUGCUGCCAAGGUUUUGGGUAGGAUGCUAUCAUUGCCAUCGGGUUGCAAGAGAGGAAGUGGGAAGGAGAGAAAUGAAGUAAGUGUGCAAGAAGGGGAAGCAGUAACCUCGAAGACAAACAGCCCUAUGGCAUAAUGUUGCCAGCUCUGACAACCAUCAUUCGGGGUGCUUGCCAUUGCUUCAAUGAGUUUUAGUUGCAAGCAUAGUUCCAGAGUAAAUACCAUUCAUUGCCACCAUCAGCUACUCAGAAGACAAAGGAAGGACCAAAUUCUUGUCUUUGUGACAAAUUCGGGCAUGCAUAAACUAAUGCUGUGCACAGUAAAAAUUUUCUUGAUGAAACAGAAGAAUGCUAUUGCUCUCUGACACCUGAUUUUUUCAAAUCCCAAAAGGAACUUUUUGGUCUGACGUAUAGACUGUGUGUACCAUUUAAUGGCAUUUCAUUCACUUCACAUGCACAUCAUGGAAGGGGGAGUUGAGUGGGCCCAACUGUUUCUUUAUUGCUGGAUGUGAACAAUACAUAUCCUGUCCCAGGAAUUGAUCAUUAAUUACUCUCUAAGUGGAAAGAAUGAUGUAGUGAUGACGAUGAUGAUUUUGGUUUUCUCGACGCACAAUGGUCAUGAAUUAACCCGUGAUAUUGUACACUGAUGACACAAUAGUUAUCUAUGAAAACAGAUGCAGGCAGUCUUUCGUACUAAAUGAUUUUAUCUCAUCGCCAGAAAGAGCUUACCCG